rnacentral:misc_RNA from 1 species
UGAACUCUCAAAGCCCACGUCUUGACGUGGCUUUGGACCUGAGGGCUUUUGCAGGCUUUUGAUUCAGAAAGCCUGCUCCCUUGAAAAUCAUCAGUGGUAUCUGGAGCGGAAACCGCUAGGUGUUGAUAACAUUUCAUCUAUGCCUUUGGGUAUGCCGCGUAAAAUGUGCUGCUUCCAACGGCCCCAUUAUGCUCUUUGACAA